rnacentral:tRNA from 1 species
GGUGGCUCAGUGGUAGAGCACUUGCCUAGCAUGCAUAAGGCACUGGGUUCAAUCCCUAGCACCA